rnacentral:rRNA from 1 species
UGGGGAAUUAUGGACAAUGGGGGAAACCCUGAUCCAGCCAUCCCGCGUGUGCGAUGAAGGCCUUCGGGUUGUAAAGCACUUUUGGCAGGAAAGAAACGUCAUGGGUUAAUACCCCGUGAAACUGACGGUACCUGCAGAAUAAGCACCGGCUAACUACGUGCCAGCAGCCGCGGUAAUACGUAGGGUGCAAGCGUUAAUCGGAAUUACUGGGCGUAAAGCGUGCGCAGGCGGUUCGGAAAGAAAGAUGUGAAAUCCCAGAGCUCAACUUUGGAACUGCAUUUUUAACUACCGGGCUAGAGUGUGUCAGAGGGAGGUGGAAUUCCGCGUGUAGCAGUGAAAUGCGUAGAUAUGCGGAGGAACACCGAUGGCGAAGGCAGCCUCCUGGGAUAACACUGACGCUCAUGCACGAAAGCGUGGGGAGCAAACAGG